GACGAACGCUGGCGGCGUGCUUAACACAUGCAAGUCGAACGGAAAGGCCCUGCUUUUGUGGGGUGCUCGAGUGGCGAACGGGUGAGUAACACGUGAGUAACCUGCCCUUGACUUUGGGAUAACUUCAGGAAACUGGGGCUAAUACCGGAUAGGAGCUCCUGCUGCAUGGUGGGGGUUGGAAAGUUUCGGCGGUUGGGGAUGGACUCGCGGCUUAUCAGCUUGUUGGUGGGGUAGUGGCUUACCAAGGCUUUGACGGGUAGCCGGCCUGAGAGGGUGACCGGCCACAUUGGGACUGAGAUACGGCCCAGACUCCUACGGGAGGCAGCAGUGGGGAAUAUUGCACAAUGGGCGGAAGCCUGAUGCAGCAACGCCGCGUGCGGGAGGACGGCCUUCGGGUUGUAAACCGCUUUCGCCUGUGACGAAGCGUGAGUGACGGUAAUGGGUAAAGAAGCACCGGCUAACCACGU
rnacentral:rRNA from 1 species